GAUGAACGCUGGCGGCGUGCCUAAUACAUGCAAGUCGAGCGAACAGACGAGGAGCUUGCUCCUCUGACGUUAGCGGCGGACGGGUGAGUAACACGUGGAUAACCUACCUAUAUGACUGGGAUAACUUCGGGAAACCGGAGCUAAUACCGGAUAAUAUAUUGAACCGCAUGGUUCAAUAGUGAAAGACGGCUUUGGUGUCACUUAUAGAUGGAUCCGCGCCGCAUUAGCUAGUUGGUAAGGUAACGGCCUACCAAGGCAACGAUGCGUAGCCGACCUGAGAGGGUGGUCGGCCACACUGGAACUGGGACACGGUCCAGACUCCUACGGGAGGCAGCAGUAGGGAAUCUUCCGCAAUGGGCGAAAGCCUGACGGAGCAACGCCGCGUGAGUGAUGAAGGUCUUCGGAUCGUAAAGCUCUGUUAUUAGGGAAGAACAAAUGUGUAAGUAACUAUGCACGUCUUGACGGUACCUAAUCAGAAAGCCACGGCUAACUACGUG
rnacentral:rRNA from 1 species